rnacentral:ncRNA from 14 species
ACAACGGCUCUUUUAAGAGCCACUCACUCCGUCUGACGAGACACGG